rnacentral:rRNA from 1 species
AACGGUCUUUCUAUGGAAGCUUGCUUCCGCUGAGAAGAUAGUGGCGAACGGGUGAGGUAACACGUGGGUAACCUGCCCAUAAGAGGGGGGAUAACAUCCGGAAACGGGUGCUAAUACCGCAUAGUUUCUUGAUCGCAUGAUCGGGAAAGGAAAGACGGCCUUUGUGCUGUCGCUUAUGGAUGGACCCGCGGCGUAUUAGUUAGUUGGUGAGGUAACGGCUCACCAAGACGAUGAUACGUAGCCGACCUGAGAGGGUGAUCGGCCACAUUGGGACUGAGACACGGCCCAAACUCCUACGGGAGGCAGCAGUAGGGAAUCUUCCGCAAUGGACGAAAGUCUGACGGAGCAACGCCGCGUGAGUGAAGAAAGGUUUUCGGAUCGUAAAACUCUGUUGUCAGAGAAGAACAAGUUGGAGAGUAACUGCUCCAGCCUUGACGGUAUCUGACCAGAAAGCCACGGCUAACUACGUGCCAGCCGCCGC